rnacentral:lncRNA from 10 species
CCUCAGUUCCUCAGUUGGUCCUCAAUUCAUUCUGACUCAUUUCACUUGAGUCAUGGCUUAAUUAAGUUGUUCUGUAGCACACAACGGCCAGGGGACUUUCCUUCUUUCCAUGAGUGACUAUUUUUCUCUAGGUUGGGAUCGUUCUCUUUUCCAUUCAUUACUUCUUUUCUCUUGUAUAGCAUAUUUGCCUAGUUGUGCUUUUAUUGUUUUCAUAUUGUUUAUGCCUGCACCAUUCUGACAGCCCGAAGGAACGUCUCUGGGUGGAGAAUGAGGAAGUCUCUCUUCCCUGAGAUUUCAUCAGAAGUCCUGCUUUAGGGUACCCUUCUCCAGGGUUGAGAGUAUGGGUACUGCUCAGUAGGAGAUUCCCCUGGGAUCUUGACUGCUCCUGUAAUUCAGAGUAUUGUCUUAGAGACUUUGCUUCCAUCAGAUGGAUUCUGCCGAUGCUUCAGGUUCCCUGGUUCACCCGCUUCUCUGAGCAUCAGUCUCCGUUGUUUUGUUGUGAGACAGAAGAAGGAGAAGGAGGAGGAAGAGAAGGAUGAGGAGGAAAGGAGGAGGAAGAGGAGCAGAAGGAGGAAGGGGAGGGGCAGAACAACCAUCACCAUGGCCAUCCCCCGCCAGAGCACCCACCCCACUUGCUUUCUUCUCCUCUUGGUGUCUGUGAGAAAGCCCAGGAUUUUGUCACCUCCCAGCCCAGUCUCUGGGACGAGGAGCCUCGGUGGCAUGGAACUUCCACAGGGACAGUUCAGUCGGCUGCCUCACUGGGGACUUCCAUCCUGGCAGUGCCUGGGCUCCUCAGGAAGACAGUGGUCAGUUGAGUCCUUGCCAAGCCAGGCUGGCUUCGAGGAGGAGUGAUUGAGGCGAUUGUUUUCAGUGGCUUUGCGACAAGAUCCCACAUUCAGCCUGAUAAUGCAGACUCUUUCAAGCCAUCUUCCUGGCCCCACGGACAGCCCUGUGGACUUUAAGCUCCAGUGCCAGAUGGAAAGACAACAGCCUUGGGAGACUGCUUAACAAGCUCCCCAAAGGGUCAGAGCCUGGAAACAAUGUUCCUUCAAUCCUUUGCCAGCAGGGAUCUUCUUUAGUUUCUGCCAAUAAGGGCCACUGGUGUAAAAUUUGGAAACCAGACAAAGAGAAGCUGACUUUUGGCAAUGGCGUGAGACAUGGGCAUCAAUAAAGGCUGGGUGAGCUCUGCCAGUGGCUUUCAGGCGUGAGUCAUCUGUUCACACAGUUGAGAUCUGCAGUGGCUGUCCCUGCAGUCUCCACUUCCUGGAUUCCUGAAUGCUUCCGAAGCUUCCCUGACCUUGACUCUCUCCCCAACAGCUUCGUAAGCCUGUAAUCUCCUGCAUUAAUCUCCUCUCCAUUGAAGGACCUGGAGGGUUUCCAUUUUCCCAGGCAAACCCUGUCUGAGACGUAUCCCCACUAGCACUGCAUAAGAGCUCCCAGGGCCCCACCUCCUCACCACACAGUGCUUGUCAACCCUUCGGUCAGUUGCGGAAGUGAACAAUAGUAUCUCGUUGUAGUUUUAGUUUCAGAAUUGUGCGUGUAGAAUUGAUGUUUUGUUUGUAUGUUUAACAGCCAUUUGUAUUUUCUUUUUUAUAAACCAGGUUCGUAUCCUUUGAUUAUUUUUCUGUUGUGUUAUUGAUGGGUGUUGUCACCUACAUGGAUCAUACCUGUUAGCACACUUAAAAAUUUUUUUAAAAAAUAUCUUUUUAAAAAAUUAAUAAGAAAUAGCACUGUAUGACAUAAAUGGCAAAACUUUUCUCUGGUUUUCAGUUUGUCUUUUGACUUACUUUAUAUGUACUUCUUGACAUGAAGAUUAAAACAUUUUCAUGUAAUCCAACGUUUUUUCUUUUAUGGAUUUCUUUUUUUUUUGGAGACAGAGUCUCACCCUGUGGCCCAGGCUGGAGUGCAGUGGUAUGAUCUCGGCUCACUGCAACCUCUACUUCCCAGGUUCAAGCGAUUCUCA